rnacentral:rRNA from 1 species
UCCGUUGUAGCAAUACGAUGGAAAGUCUAGUGGCGAACGGGUGCUUAACACGUGGGCAACCUGCCAGGAAGUGGGGGAUAGCUCGCCGAAAGGCGAAUUAAUACCGCAUGUGAUUAGAGAGGACAUCCUUUCGAAAUUAAAGUCGGGGCAACCUGACGCUUCUUGUGGGGCCCGCGGCCUAUCAGCUAGUUGGUGAGGUAACGGCUCACCAAGGCUUUGACGGGUAGCUGGUCUGAGAGGACGACCAGCCACACUGGGACUGAGACACGGCCCAGACACCUACGGGUGGCAGCAGUCGAGAAUUUUUGACAAUGGGGGAAACCCUGAUCGAGCGACGCCGCGUGGAGGAUGAAGGUCUUCGGAUUGUAAACUCCUGUCAUUGGGGAACAAGGUGCAUACGUUAACUGCGUGUGCAUUGAUAGUACCCGAAGAGGAAGAGACGGCUAACUCUGUGCCAGCAGCCGCGGUAAUACAGAGGUCUCAAGCGUUGUUCGGAUUCAUUGGGCGUAAAGGGUGCGUAGGCGGCGCGGUAAGUCGGGUGUGAAAUCUCGGAGCUUAACUCCGAAACUGCAUUCGAUACUGCCGUGCUUGAGGACUGGAGAGGAGACUGGAAUUCACGGUGUAGCA